UCUCCACAAACGGAGGUGCUUCCAGCAGCAGCGAACGCGCUGCCUCUUCCGAGAUCUCCGCCGCCGCCGCCGCCUGGGCUCAAUGCCGUCACUGCCGCUGGACUCGACACCACCUCCGCCUCCUGGACUGGACUGGCGACCUCAGUCUCCAGCAUCCUCUCCUCCAGACGGCAGGACCCGAGUGAAUAAUGUCAAAAGCCCGAAAGGCCUGCGGUGGACAUUGUCAUUACCUGAAGAUAGCUGACUGAAUAUUGUGACAUCUCCUGGAACAUCAAACAAGGCAAUGUUGGAGAAGAUGGUGUCCCAGAUCACAUAACAGAGAUUGUGCAGAGCACUAUGGAUAUCUACUUUGCUGACAGGGAAUUUAGGUGUAAUACAUAGUGCUUUUUCUGAAUGUUUGCGGGGAGCUCGGUUAGUGUCGAUGCCUCAAGGGUUUAUGAAUAACAGUUCCAUGUUGCUUAAAGGCAUUGUAAUGCUGGCUACUGGUUUCCAGGUAUAUGUUUAUGUAGUCAUAUGGACGCGCUCAUUGAUAAUUCAUAUAGAAUGUUUAUAUUCUUUAUAACUUUGCCAUGGAUGAACCUAUUCUGGAUAAUGAGGAGUUAGCAAGGGGAGUUUCUUAUUGCAGAGAAUUGGUGAUGCUUUUGCUUCAGGAUACUUAAUUGCAUGGCCUUGAGCUUUUAUUCAAAAGAAGGAUAAUUGAGUUGCAGCUAAAUUCUUCGGCUGGAUCAAGCAGCAAAGAAGAUUUUACUUAGCAAUACAUGUAGUUUACAUUGAUAGAUUGAAAAAUGUAAUAUCAUUCCCAAGAUCUUUUUCUUUGGUCGAAUUGAUGCAUCUGCUAUGGUGUAAUAUUCUACAUAGUUGUGUUCUCUAUAGUCAAAUUGAUAUGAAUGAUAUUCUGUUGCACCAAUAAUAUUGGUAUUUGUUUAUUGUAAUGCAUAUGUAUCCUACACUCUUAUAUAUAAUAAAUAUAUU